UACGUAGGGCGCAAGCGUUAUCCGGAAUUAUUGGGCGUAAAGAGCUUGUAGGCGGUUUGUCGCGUCUGCUGUGAAAUUUCGGGGCUCAACCCCGAACUUGCAGUGGGUACGGGCAGACUAGAGUGUGGUAGGGGAGACUGGAAUUCCUGGUGUAGCGGUGAAAUGCGCAGAUAUCAGGAGGAACACCGAUGGCGAAGGCAGGUCUCUGGGCCACUACUGACGCUGAGAAGCGAAAGCAUGGGGGAGCGAACAGG
rnacentral:rRNA from 1 species